CCAAUAGCGUAUAUUAAAGUUGUUGCAGUUAAAAAGCUCGUAGUUGAAUUUUGGGUCUGGCCGGGCGGUCCACCUUCCGGUGAGCACUGUUCCGACGCCGGGCCUAUCCUUCUGGUGAGACGGCAUGCCCUUCGCUGGGUGUGUCGGGGAACCAGGACCAUUACCUUGAAAAAAUUAGAGUGUUCAAAGCAGGCAUUUGCUCGAAUACAUUAGCAUGGAAUAAUGAAAUAGGACGCGUGGUACUAUUUUUUUGGUUUCUAGGACCGCCGUAAUGAUUAAUAGGGAUAGUUGGGGGCAUUAGUAUUCAAUUGUCAGAGGUGAAAUUCUUGGAUUUAUUGAAGACUAACUUCUGCGAAAGCAUUUGCCAAGGAUGUUUUCAUUAAUCAAGAACGAAAGUUAGGGGAUCGAAGACGAUCAGAUACCGUCGUAGUCUUAACCAUAAACUAUGCCGACUAGGAAUCGGGCGAUGUUAUUUUAACGACUCGCCCGGCGCCUUAUG
rnacentral:rRNA from 1 species